GAUGAACGCUGGCGGCGUGCCUAAUACAUGCAAGUCGAGCGAACGGACGAGAAGCUUGCUUCUCUGAUGUUAGCGGCGGACGGGUGAGUAACACGUGGAUAACCUACCUAUAAGACUGGGAUAACUUCGGGAAACCGGAGCUAAUACCGGAUAAUAUUUUGAACCGCAUGGUUCAAAAGUGAAAGACGGUCUUGCUGUCACUUAUAGAUGGAUCCGCGCUGCAUUAGCUAGUUGGUAAGGUAACGGCUUACCAAGGCAACGAUGCAUAGCCGACCUGAGAGGGUGAUCGGCCACACUGGAACUGAGACACGGUCCAGACUCCUACGGGAGGCAGCAGUGGGGAAUCUUCCGCAAUGGGCGAAAGCCUGACGGAGCAACGCCGCGUGAGUGAUGAAGGUCUUCGGAUCGUAAAACCCUGUUAUUAGGGAAGAACAUAUGUGUAAGUAACUGUGCACAUCUUGACGGUACCUAAUCAGAAAGCCACGGCUAACUACGUG
rnacentral:rRNA from 1 species